rnacentral:rRNA from 1 species
GACGAACGCUGGCGGCGUGCUUAACACAUGCAAGUCGAACGGAAAGGCCCUGCUUUUGUGGGGUGCUCGUGUGGCGAACGGGUGAGUAACACGUGAGUAACCUGCCCUUGACUUUGGGAUAACUUCAGGAAACGGGGGCUAAUACCGGAUAGGAGCUCCUGCUGCAUGGUGGGGGUUGGAAAGUUUCGGCGGUUGGGGAUGGACUCGCGGCGUAUCAGCUUGUUGGUGGGGUAGUGGCUUACCAAGGCUUUGACGGGUAGCCGGCCUGAGAGGGUGACCGGCCACAUUGGGACUGAGAUACGGCCCAGACUCCUACGGGAGGCAGCAGUGGGGAAUAUUGCACAAUGGGCGGAAGCCUGAUGCAGCAACGCCGCGUGCGGGAUGACGGCCUUCGGGUUGUAAACCGCUUUCGCCUGUGACGAAGCGUGAGUGACGGUAAUGGGUAAAGAAGCACCGGCUAACUACGUG